CUUUGUUUAGAUUGUAUAAUCGUUACUUUUUUUUUAUAUUAUAAAUUCCAAACAGAGUAAAAAACUGAAGCCCAUCAUGUCCAGACUUAUGGUUGCCUAGAAUUGUUUGAAAAAAUUAUUUGGAAUAUAUAACCCCGACUUUUCCCUAAUUUGGAAAGCGUUGUGAAGAGUUGAAGAAAACUAUGUUGGGUGUGGAAGAAGAAUCAGAGGGAGAGGAAGGCUCUGACAAAGAUGUCCAGUGUAGAUUUUGAAGAAGCUGGUCAUCUUAAAAUCCAUCUUGAGCGAGGUCAAGAGAUGGAAUUGUGCAUUAUGCUCCUAGAAUGUUGCAGCCAAGAAAGAACUUACCUCCUGUAUCUUCUUGGGUAGCGUUUUUGUAUGAUCAACAAAGUGCAUCAAGAAAAUUUUGAGAAGUGUUUUGUGCAGCAGUAUUCUAUGAUCCACAGGUUUGAACUUUGAAACAAAUAAGUUGCGAUUAAAAACAUCUCAUGGUAAUGGUCAAUAAUUAAAAAAAAAAAAAAAAAAAAAAGAGAUCUCUAUGCUUCUUCUAUUAGCGGUUUCAUCAGAGGGUUUUUAUAUUUGUGUUGAUUUUGGUGGGUUUGAUACCACUUAUACUCUUUCUCAUAUUUAGAUUAGAUAUAGUAUACUUUUUUUUUUUUUUUUGAGGGAUAGAUAUAGUAUACCUAUACUCUCGAAUUAUUACUAAAAGGUUAAUUAAGUUUUUGGUUCCUAUAAAUAUCUGCAGUUUUGUUUUUAGUCCUUAUAAAAAUAAAUCACACUUUUUAGUCCCUACAAAAUUUUCUGUUAGUGUUUUUAGUCCC
rnacentral:lncRNA from 1 species